UGCAUGGGUUUAUUUUAAUGAUUUACAAUUUUAUUUAAUUAAGGUCCUUACGUCAGGGUGAAGUUUGUAGACGACGGAAAAGAGAAGAACUAUUCAGAAUUUAGCGGAACAUUCUUGAGUGUUGAUGAUGAUUCAGAGUUGAAUUUCAACUCACUUCAUGUAGGACUGAUUGUUGCAGCGCAGUGGGAAAAUCGACAUUAUGAAGCUAAAGUAGUGCAAGUGCAUAAUCCAGUGCAUAUAGAGACAGAAGAAAUGACAGCUGAAAGGGAACCUGUUACACUUUCAGAGAAGCUACCACUGAAAAAGAGAAAGAUAUCCAGAGGUAAAAAUGAACUUUUUUAAGUUUUAAAAAUUUAUUCAAAAAGAGCUUCCCAAGAUGCUCGUCAGAAGAAGACAGAGGAUGAUGAAAUGAAGGAAAAGAGAAAAGAGAUCGCCCUUGAGAAAAAAAGAAAAAGACUGGCGGUUGCAGCUGCAGCACAGGAUAUGGCUGCCAAACUCUAUUCUAAUAUGCAUAAUUGUCUGAUAGUGGAAGUCAACAAUCAUCAACAAAAAGUGUCAAAAAGCAUAAACCUAAAACCAGACCAAGCAUUGAGUUGGCAGAUUAUUAUGAACUAAAGAAUGAUGAAAGCCCAGAAGAGGGCUAUUCUGUUUUGGCACCAGGUGCAAGUAUAGCGGUCUCAUCCCUAUGGUUGCACUCCAUCCUUUCAUCACUCUCAAAGAAAAGAAAACAAAAGAAGUCAACAGGUUUUGAAAUAAUUAAAAGACUAAUGGAUGGUUUUUAUGAACCAUGGGAUCUUGCCAUGAAGGGUGGCAUUACCCCCUUCAAGGACUCUCCCGUUCAUAAAUCCUUGAAAUGCUAUGCAGAGCAUAAACUCAACAUGGAUUUACCAACCUUCAAUCGUGCGUGGAUGGAGAAGAUGUCUGCGUCAAGGUUGACAAUGAAACGACUCCAAAAGGACAACACCAGUACAUCCUCUCCAUCACAUCAGUAAUUAAUUAGUUUUCUCUGCACUGAUUGUAAAUUUCAAACUAUUAUAGGCGUGCAGUUCCAUUGUUAUCUUAGAUAUAUUUCAUAUAGCUCAACUUGAUUCUACUUGUAAUAAUUUUUUCUUUUCUUUUGAGUUGCAUCUAUUACUUAACUCAGAUUGAUCGAGCUAUUAUAUUAACAUUCAACCUGUGGUUUUGCACUUUAUUGACAUUGAAUAAUUCCCUAAAUAUACUCAGGAGAAUCAAUUUAACAUAAAAUAUUUGAAGAGAAAAAUUACCUAUCAACAAAGUAAAUAUGCAAGUUUUUUCUUUGGUUUGUUUGUUUUUUAGGAAACUUAAUGUAUUAAGAUUAUGGUUAGAUUAUACAUAUAGAUUUUGUGUAUAGUUUUACAACCCUUGCAAGAUUAUUUCACUCAUGAGACUUCAGUGUAUGCCGAUUAAGAACUUCAAAUUUAGACAUAUACUCUGCACUUGGGCCAAUCCUCAUUGAGCACCAAGGGUCUUUAUCUGCCAUAACAUGGGACCUCGGUUUUUAAGGUUAAUUCAUCCAAAAACAUGCAACUUUCACUUUAUUUAGCCAAUUAAGCCCUUGGUCAGGGAUUAGUUGCAUGAUGCCUAUUUUUUUUAUAUAAUUUUUAGAUAAUUGUUGUGCGCCAUGCAUUUAGUAUGUGUUUUAUGCACCUAUUCUGUGUAAAUAAGUUGACAUAAAAAUCUCCUUUUGUAACCAAGAUAUAUAUGCCUCAAGUUGAAGGAAAUUGUGAGCAUGUAGUUGAUAAGAGCUACGUAUGAACUGCACAGAUGUUGAUAAAUUAUUGUUGGAAGUCAUUUUUAUAAAGUAUGCAUUUUUUUAAAAUUGUUUCAUUGCUACAUUGUGGUGCUAUAGGAGGAGCUAGUAUAUGUGGUUUAAUUGUCAAAAUGAAAAUGCAUGAUAUGCAUUUUGUAAACAACUCAUUCAGAGUGAUUUGAUAUUGAUUUGUAAACAAUUUAUUCCAAGUGAUUUGGUUGUGAUUUGUUAAACAGAAGAGAAUGGUAAACAAUUUAUUCAGAGUGAUUUGGUAGUGAUUUGUUAAUCAGAAGUGAUUUGCUAACAAUUUAUUCAGAGUGAUUUGGUUGUGAUUUGUUUGCAGUUGUAUAUACAUGCAUUGUCUAUACAUUCUAGAAAAUAAAAAAAAAGUGAUUUGCUUACAAUUUGUUAAGAGUGAUUUGUUAGCUCAUUUGCAUGGGAAUUUGCAUCACUUACAAAUCAUCUUCAAAUCAAUGAUUUGUCUGUGAUUUCUUAAAGUGAUUUGUUUGAGGAAUUUUUUCACUUGGGUAUGGAACAUAAGUACAUCUUUACAAGUAGUACGUGUUGAAAUGAAAAGGACCUUUCUGCUUUGCAGUUGGUAAUGGGUAAGGUGAAGCCGAUGAAAAAUUAUAAUUUCUGCAGGUUGGAAAAUAUCUUUAUUGAAUUCCGAC